UAACACAUGCAAGUCGAACGCAGUAGCAAUACUGAGUGGCAAACGGGUGAGUAUAAUGUGGGAAUCUGCCUUUUGGUUUGGAAUAACACGGGGAAACUUGUGCUAAUACCGAAUAAGCCCUUACGGGGAAAGUUUUAAUGCCAAAAGAUGAGCCCGCACUUGAUUAGCUAGUUGGUAAGGUAAAAGCUUACCAAGGCAACGAUCAAUAGCUGUUCUUAGAGGAAGACCAGCCACAUUGGGACUGAGACACGGCCCAGACUCCUACGGGAGGCAGCAGUGGGGAAUCUUGCACAAUGGGGGAAACCCUGAUGCAGCGAUGCCGCGUGAGUGAAGAAGGCCUUUGGGUUGUAAAACUCUUUCGUCGGGGAAGAAAAUGACUGUACCCGAAUAAGAAGGUCCGGCUAACUUCGUGCCAGCAGCCGCGGUAAUACGAAGGGACCUAGCGUAGUUCGGAAUUACUGGGCUUAAAGAGCUCGUAGGUGGUUAAAAAAGUUGAUGGUGAAAUCCCAAGGCUCAACCUUGGAACUGCCAUCAAAACUUUUUAGCUAGAGUGUGAUAGAGGUAAGUGGAAUUUCUAGUGUAGAGGUGAAAUUCGUAGAUAUUAGAAAGAACACCAAAUGCGAAGGCAACUUACUGGGUCACUA
rnacentral:rRNA from 1 species